CCGGCCCUGAGCACAGAGGCCGUGGGCUGAGACGCCAGAGAGCUGCUGCCGUUUCUGAGAAGGGAAGGGAGCCAGCUGCUUCGAGAGAACAGAGAGAACUACAGAGGGAAGAUUGCUGCAGGUGUCAAGGCCGCCUCUGCGCAUUCUUGAGGCCCAGCUGCAUCGGCGGCCGUCCUCACAUUUGGCUCCUGAAACCUCUUUUGGAUUCCAGGGGCAGUUAAUUUUUUUUUUUUUUUUACGUUUAAACUUGAUUUCUGACGUUGGAUGCUCAGUAAAAGGUCUGACCCACACGAGAUUAAUUUCUCAAGUACAAGGUCAGUUUAUUCCCGAGUAGCAUCCUGACUUAGCCGAUAGAAGGUGAGUAGGGGGCCCGAGAAGGGAGGGCAGCAGCCGAGUUUCUAAGACGCGUCCUCUGGCAGCCGUGCUCCUCACACCUGCAGCACCCGGACCACGGAGCCGCACCUCCUGGUUCUCCUUCCUCUUGGAUCCGCGCAGCUAACUUUCUCCCCGCCCUGACACAUCUCCUAGUGUAAAAAAUCCUUCUUCAUGUAGACCAAGAACAUUUUAAAAACAACUUUUUUCAACUUCAGCUAUAUCGAGGUAAAAAUCGACAUAUAAAAUUCUAAGAUGUUUGAAGUGUGCAUUGUGGUGAUUUGAUGUACACACACAGUGCGAAAGGGGCCCCAUCUGGUUGGCCAUCCCACGUGUACCUUCUGUGUUUCUGCAGAGAACACUGAAGUCUCACCCUCUUAGCAAAUUCCGAUCAUGCAGUACCACGUUAUCAACUAUAGUCACCGCGUUGUACAUGAGAUCCUCAGGCCUUCUCCAUCUAGUGGGGAUUCCACAGACAGGAAAGGAUGCCCCCCGCAUCACUCGCCAUCGGCGAAACGCACCUCAGAGCCACGGCGAGUCAUCCCCUCGCGCCUGUCACAGCGGCCAAACUCAAAAACACAAGAAGCCACCAGCGUCCGCGAGGAUGUGGAGAAAUGAGAAGGCUUGUGCCCCGUUGGUGGGAACAUUAAUUGGUGCAGCUGCUGUGGAAAACAGUAUGGAGUUUCCUCAAAAAAUUAAAAAUUAGAAAUACGGUGUGAUCUAGCGAUCCCACUUCUGGUACAUACUCAAAGGAAAUGAAAUCAGGGCAUGGAAGGAUCAUCCGUGCCCCGCCGCCCCCCCACCCCGCGCACCGUGGUCAAGACACGAAGCAGCUAAUGUCCA